rnacentral:lncRNA from 1 species
GGAGCUUGAGGAAACCGCAGAUAAGUUUUUUUCUCUUUGAAAGAUAGAGAUUAAUACAACUACUUAAAAAAUAUAGUCAAUAGGUUACUAAGAUAUUGCUUAGCGUUAAGUUUUUAACGUAAUUUUAAUAGCUUAAGAUUUUAAGAGAAAAUAUGAAGACUUAGAAGAGUAGCAUGAGGAAGGAAAAGAUAAAAGGUUUCUAAAACAUGACGGAGGUAACAGCACAAUAUCUUUGAACUAUAUACAUCCUUGAUGUAUAAUUUGUCAGGAGCUUGACUUGAUUGUAUAUUCAUAUUUACACGAGAACCUAAUAUAACUGCCUUGUCUUUUUCAGGUAAUAGCCUGCAGCUGGUGUUUUGAGAAGCCCUACUGCUGAAAACUUAACAAUUUUGUGUAAUAAAAAUGGAGAAGCUCUAAA